CGGUAGCAGGAAGUGCUUGCACUUUGCUGACGAGUGGCGGACGGGUGAGUAAUACUUAGGAACAUGCCUUUGUGUGGGGGAUAACCAUUGGAAACGAUGGCUAAUACCGCAUAAUGUCUUUGGACCAAAGAGGGCUUUCGGGCUCUCGCGCAAAGAGUGGCCUAAGUGAGAUUAGCUUGUUGGUGAGGUAAAGGCUCACCAAGGCGACGAUCUCUAGCUGUUCUGAGAGGAAGAUCAGCCACACUGGGACUGAGACACGGCCCAGACUCCUACGGGAGGCAGCAGUGGGGAAUAUUGCACAAUGGGGGCAACCCUGAUGCAGCCAUGCCGCGUGUGUGAAGAAGGCCUUCGGGUUGUAAAGCACUUUCAGUUGUGAGGAAAGGUUGAUGGUUAAUACCCAUCAGCUGUGACGUUAGCAACAGAAGAAGCACCGGCUAACUCCGUGCCAGCAGCCGCGGUAAUACGGAGGGUGCGAGCGUUAAUCGGAAUUACUGGGCGUAAAGCGCACGCAGGCGGUUUGUUAAGCUAGAUGUGAAAGCCCCGGGCUCAACCUGGGAAUAGCAUUUAGAACUGGCAGACUAGAGUCUUGGAGAGGGGAGUGGAAUUUCUGGUGUAGCG
rnacentral:rRNA from 1 species